rnacentral:rRNA from 1 species
AGAGUUUGAUCCUGGCUCAGGACGAACGCUGGCGGCGUGCCUAAUACAUGCAAGUAGAGCGCUGAAGAGAGGAGCUUGCUCUUCUUGGAUGAGUUGCGAACGGGUGAGUAACGCGUAGGUAACCUACCUUGUAGCGGGGGAUAACUAUUGGAAACGAUAGCUAAUACCGCAUAACAAUGAAUGACCAAUGUUAUUUAUUUGAAAGGGGCAAUUGCUCCACUACAAGAUGGACCUGCGUUGUAUUAGCUAGUAGGUGAGGUAACGGCUCACCUAGGCGACGAUACAUAGCCGACCUGAGAGGGUGAUCGGCCACACUGGGACUGAGACACGGCCCAGACUCCUACGGGAGGCAGCAGUAGGGAAUCUUCGGCAAUGGGGGCAACCCUGACCGAGCAACGCCGCGUGAGUGAAGAAGGUUUUCGGAUCGUAAAGCUCUGUUGUAAGUCAAGAACGAGUGUGAGAGUGGAAAGUUCACACUGUGACGGUAGCUUACCAGAAAGGGACGGCUAACUACGUGCCAGCAGCCGCGGUAAUACGUAGGUCCCGAGCGUUGUCCGGAUUUAUUGGGCGUAAAGCGAGCGCAGGCGGUUUGAAAAGUCUGAAGUUAAAGGCUGUGGCUCAACCAUAGUUCGCUUUGGAAACUGUCAAACUUGAGUGCAGAAGGGGAGAGUGGAAUUCCAUGUGUAGCGGUGAAAUGCGUAGAUAUAUGGAGGAACACCGGUGGCGAAAGCGGCUCUCUGGUCUGUAACUGACGCUGAGGCUCGAAAGCGUGGGGAGCGAACAGGAUUAGAUACCCUGGUAGUCCACGCCGUAAACGAUGAGUGCUAGGUGUUGGAUCCUU